UUAAACUAGGAUUAGAUACCCUAUUAUACUAUACAAAAAAAACUUCCUGAGGCACUAAAAUCAAAUUUUGAUUAAAACCUAAAAAGCUUGGCGGCAAAAUAAAUUUUUAGGGGAACUUACCAAGUAAUUGACAACCCACAAGGAAAUCUAACUUAACCUAAAAGUUUGCAUACAGCCGUCUCCAGAAAGACCUCAAAGGGUUUUACAGCUAAUAAAAAAAACAAAAAAAUAUUGUAAGUCAGGUCAAUGCGCAGCCUAUGGUUUAAGUUUUUCGGCGAGUUACAAUAUGUGUUUAAUAAAUUCUAGUAUUAUUUUUUAAAAAAGAAAUAGGAAAGAUGGACUUAAAAGUAAAAAAAAAUUAUUUAAAAAUAAAAGUUGAAAAAGAAAAACAUAUUUUUUUAGUGAAGGNANGAAAUAUAAAAUUAUUUUGUGCACACAUCGCCCGCC
rnacentral:rRNA from 1 species